UCUCGCCUCCUCCACUCUCAGGUGACACAGGAAAUGCUUUGAUGGAAUCCUCUUUGUCAGGACCUUGCAGAGACAUUUAGGAAACAGAAACUCUGGAGCUUGAUCCUCACACCAGAAUGCCCCAAUGAAGAGCUAGAAGAGAGGACCAGAGCAGAAAGAGGGAGAGAAUUACAAUCUAGUGAUGUUUAACAGACUCUUGAAAUACCUCCUAUCCUGAGCAUCAACCCAAUAACAAAACUAAUACGAUCAUCAUAAGUGACACCAAAAGUAAAACUAUCACAGUACGACAAAAAACAAGAUUCAGAGAGAGAGCGAGAGAGAGAGAGAAGAUUGAGUUAGACAGAGAGAGAGACUGGAGGAAGAUCAGACAUCAACAGACAUCCAUUAACAGAGACCAGAGGAAGGUUUCAAGAAGUUUCUAAAUCCAUCUACAUAGCAGCUAUCCAUCCAUCCACCCAUCUUAGCCUGGAGUACUCACCAUUUGUACUGUGUGGAGGUCUGUGUCUGUCUGUUAUCUCCUAUCCAUGCCUCCAUCUCCUCCUCUUCCUCCUGUCUGUCUGCUAUCUGGUCCCAGAUCUCAGUAUUGACAACCAGAGAACCAGAAAAGGGUAGGCUGACCUGGCAACAGGUGAUCCAGCGACACAGAGGGCAGCACGCGGUCAGGAUGCCACUCUGGAUCCUGGAGAUUGCCUCCAAGCACGGCCCACAGAAGGUGUGUUCGCAGUGGAGCACCCGAGGUAUUUUCUCCCUGCGAGAAUAGGGUUGGAAGCAGACGCAACAAUUCAUGUCUUCACUCAUCAGACCCAUGGCUGGUUGGCUGGGGUGUGGAUAGACGGAUGGACAGCUGGAGCACAGGAGGGACUCUGGAUGGAGAGCAGUGUCUGGCCACUGGGGAGGAGACAAAAAUGAUUGUUUCAUAAGGGGCGGUCUGUCGCCUCCUCCACUCUCAGGUGACACAGGAAAUGCUUUGAUGGAAUCCUCUUUGUCAGGACCUUGCAGAGACAUUUAGGAAACAGGUAUUCAUGUCUAAAAACGACACACA